UGCGUAGGCGGCUUAUUAAGUCAGUGGUGAAAUCUCUCGGCUCAACCGAGAAGCUGCCAUUGAAACUGAUAAGCUUGAGUGUAGUUGUAGUAGGCGGAAUAUAGCAUGUAGCGGUGAAAUGCUUAGAUAGGCUAUAGAACACCGAUCGCGAAGGCAGCUUACUAAACUAUCACUGACGCUCAUGCACGAAAGCGUGGGGAGCAAACAGGAUUAGAUACCCUGGUAGUCC
rnacentral:rRNA from 1 species